GCUUGUCUCAAAGAUUAAGCCAUGCAUGUCUAAGUAUAAACAACUUUAUACUGUAAAACUGCGAACGGCUCAUUAUAUCAGCAAUAAUUUAUUUGAUGGUUUCUUACCCCAUGGAUAACUGUGGUAAUUCUAGAGCUAAUACAUGCGUAAAGUCCCGACUCUUUCUGGGGAGGGAUGUAUUUAUUAGAUAAAAAACCAAUGCGGGUUCUGCUUGGUUGCAUCCUGAUUCAUAAUAAACGAAUGGAUUGCAUGCUUUGGCUGGCAAUGUAGCAUCUAAGUUUCUGACCUAUCAGCUUCCGACGGUAAGGUAUUGGCUUACCGUGGCAAUGACGGGUAACGGAGAAUUAGGGUUUGAUUCCGGAGAGGGAGCCUGAGAAACGGCUACCACAUCUAAGGAAGGCAGCAG
rnacentral:rRNA from 1 species